rnacentral:tRNA from 1 species
CCCUUGGUGGUCUAGUUGGUUAUGGCGUUCGGCUGUAAUUGUAUAAAUUGUUACCGAAAUGUCGCUGGUUCGAUUCCGGCCCGAGGGA